rnacentral:tRNA from 1 species
GCCCGGCUAGCUCAGUCGGUAGAGCAUGAGACUCUUAAUCUCAGGGUGGGGGGUCGAAGCCCCCGUUGGGGG